UUUGUUCAUAAGAAUAUGUUGGAAAACGUAAAGUGAAACAGGUAUUUGCUGGAAAAUACGCGGUGAUAAGUAUUGAAAAUUGCUUUUGUAAAUGAUUCGGGAUUAAAUUCGUUGACAGGUAUUAUAACCGGUUUUCUUCCCUUGAAGCUUCGGAUGGUUAAUAUAAAGGAAUUGGAAAAUCAGGUUGAUUUUUUAAGAUCAGCACAUCCCUCCGGAUUGUUAACGUUGGAUCCUGCACAACAAGAAAACCUUGAUACGAAACUUUCUUUUACUGUGGACGACUGUAAAAGCCCAGAGCAGAUGAUGAUUGACGAAUCCCAGUCCGUAUUUAAAGUAUUUGACUACUGACACAGCAUUGCUAAACCACAACGUAACACACUCGUGUAGAUCAUCGAUCGUAUGAAUGGGAUGAUGGAAUUGGAGAAAUUAUUCGAG